AAAAAAAAAAAAAAAAGCAAGGAUAUUCAGACAUACUCCAACACGGAUAAACCUGGAGGACAUAAGGCUAUGUGAAAUGAGCCAGUCACAAAAGGACAGAUAGAUUUGACUCCACUUUUAUUAGGUCCUAGAACAGGCAAAUUCAUACAAGUAGAAUAAUGAUUAGACCAGGGGCUGAUGAGGGGAAGAACGGGGGAACUGGGUAUGGGGUUUUCGUUGCGGAAGAUGAAACGCUUCUGUAGGUGAGUGGUGGUGAUGCUUGCACAGUGUGAGUGCACUUUAAUGCCUCUGAACUUGAAGACCGUUAAUAAGGUAUAUUUGAGGGGGGCUGUCGGGUCGGUCUCUGCCCGCAGCUGUGGCNNNNNNNNNNNNNNNNNNNNNNNNNUAGUUGGCCAGAAUGGUCUCGGACCUCGUGAUCCGCCCGCCUUCGCCUCCCAAAGUGCUGGGAUUGCAGGCGUGAGCCACCGCACCCGGCCAGGACCUGGUUUCUUAACCGGCACGGUGGCUUACGCCGGUAAUCCCAGCACUUGGGGAGGCCAAGGCGGGCGGAUCACCUGA
rnacentral:lncRNA from 1 species